GUGAACAUGGAUGUAAUGUUGGUGAGGACGGUGGUUUUGCUCCAAACAUCUCCAGUGUUCAAGAAGGCUUGGAUCUUGUUAAAGAGGCCAUCAGCAGAACGGGUUAUUAGAAUAAAAAUAGCAAUUGAUGUUGCUGCUACUGCUUUUUGCAUAGGUACCAAGUAUGAUUUGGACUUCAAAUCUCCUAAUAGGUCAGGGCAAAAUUUCAAGUCAGGAGAGGAUAUGAUUGAGAUGUACAAAGAACUAUGUACUGAGUACCCAAUAGUUUCAAUUGAAGAUCCAUUUGACAAGGAGGAUUGGGAACAUAUCAAGUAUUUUUCAAGCCUUGGACUGUGUCAGGUAGUAGGGGAUGGCUUGUUGAUGUCAAAUCCAAAACGUAUUGAGAGAGCAAUCCAUGAGUCUACUUGUAAUGCUCUUCUUCUCAAGAUAAACCAGAUUGGGACAGUAACAGAGGCCUUAGAAGUAGUGAAGCUGGCAAAGGAUGCCCACUGGGGAGUGGUGGUAUCACAUAGAAGUGGGGAAACAGAUGAUUCUUUCAUAUCUGAUUUAUCUGUUGGCCUGGCCACUGGUCAGAUCAAAGCAGGUGCUCCUUGCAGGGGAGG
rnacentral:misc_RNA from 1 species